rnacentral:rRNA from 1 species
GUGUGACUGCGUACCUUUUGUAUAAUGGGUCAGCGACUUAUAUUCUGUAGCAAGGUUAACCGAAUAGGGGAGCCGAAGGGAAACCGAGUCUUAACUGGGCGUUAAGUUGCAGGGUAUAGACCCGAAACCCGGUGAUCUAGCCAUGGGCAGGUUGAAGGUUGGGUAACACUAACUGGAGGACCGAACCGACUAAUGUUGAAAAAUUAGCGGAUGACUUGUGGCUGGGGGUGAAAGGCCAAUCAAACCGGGAGAUAGCUGGUUCUCCCCGAAAGCUAUUUAGGUAGCGCCUCGUGAAUUCAUCUCCGGGGGUAGAGCACUGUUUCGGCAAGGGGGUCAUCCCGACUUACCAACCCGAUGCAAACUGCGAAUACCGGAGAAUGUUAUCACGGGAGACACACGGCGGGUGCUAACGUCCGUCGUGAAGAGGGAAACAACCCAGACCGCCAGCUAAGGUCCCAAAGUCAUGGUUAAGUGGGAAACGAUGUGGGAAGGCCCAGACAGCCAGGAUGUUGGCUUAGAAGCAGCCAUCAUUUAAAGAAAGCGUAAUAGCUCACUGGUCGAGUCGGCCUGCGCGGAAGAUGUAACGGGGCUAAACCAUGCACCGAAGCUGCGGCAGCGACGCUUAUGCGUUGUUGGGUAGGGGAGCGUUCUGUAAGCCUGCGAAGGUGUGCUGUGAGGCAUGCUGGAGGUAUCAGAAGUGCGAAUGCUGACAUAAGUAACGAUAAAGCGGGUGAAAAGCCCGCUCGCCGGAAGACCAAGGGUUCCUGUCCAACGUUAAUCGGGGCAGGGUGAGUCGACCCCUAAGGCGAGGCCGAAAGGCGUAGUCGAUGGGAAACAGGUUAAUAUUCCUGUACUUGGUGUUACUGCGAAGGGGGGACGGAGAAGGCUAUGUUGGCCGGGCGACGGUUGUCCCGGUUUAAGCGUGUAGGCUGGUUUUCCAGGCAAAUCCGGAAAAUCAAGGCUGAGGCGUGAUGACGAGGCACUACGGUGCUGAAGCAACAAAUGCCCUGCUUCCAGGAAAAGCCUCUAAGCAUCAGGUAACAUCAAAUCGUACCCCAAACCGACACAGGUGGUCAGGUAGAGAAUACCAAGGCGCUUGAGAGAACUCGGGUGAAGGAACUAGGCAAAAUGGUGCCGUAACUUCGGGAGAAGGCACGCUGAUAUGUAGGUGAAGUCCCUCGCGGAUGGAGCUGAAAUCAGUCGAAGAUACCAGCUGGCUGCAACUGUUUAUUAAAAACACAGCACUGUGCAAACACGAAAGUGGACGUAUACGGUGUGACGCCUGCCCGGUGCCGGAAGGUUAAUUGAUGGGGUUAGCGCAAGCGAAGCUCUUGAUCGAAGCCCCGGUAAACGGCGGCCGUAACUAUAACGGUCCUAAGGUAGCGAAAUUCCUUGUCGGGUAAGUUCCGACCUGCACGAAUGGCGUAAUGAUGGCCAGGCUGUCUCCACCCGAGACUCAGUGAAAUUGAACUCGCUGUGAAGAUGCAGUGUACCCGCGGCAAGACGGAAAGACCCCGUGAACCUUUACUAUAGCUUGACACUGAACAUUGAGCCUUGAUGUGUAGGAUAGGUGGGAGGCUUUGAAGUGUGGACGCCAGUCUGCAUGGAGCCGACCUUGAAAUACCACCCUUUAAUGUUUGAUGUUCUAACGUGGACCCGUAAUCCGGGUUGCGGACAGUGUCUGGUGGGUAGUUUGACUGGGGCGGUCUCCUCCUAAAGAGUAACGGAGGAGCACGAAGGUUGGCUAAUCCUGGUCGGACAUCAGGAGGUUAGUGCAAUGGCAUAAGCCAGCUUGACUGCGAGCGUGACGGCGCGAGCAGGUGCGAAAGCAGGUCAUAGUGAUCCGGUGGUUCUGAAUGGAAGGGCCAUCGCUCAACGGAUAAAAGGUACUCCGGGGAUAACAGGCUGAUACCGCCCAAGAGUUCAUAUCGACGGCGGUGUUUGGCACCUCGAUGUCGGCUCAUCACAUCCUGGGGCUGAAGUAGGUCCCAAGGGUAUGGCUGUUCGCCAUUUAAAGUGGUACGCGAGCUGGGUUUAGAACGUCGUGAGACAGUUCGGUCCCUAUCUGCCGUGGGCGCUGGAGAANNNNNNNNNNNUGAGGGGGGCUGCUCCUAGUACGAGAGGACCGGAGUGGACGCAUCACUGGUGUUCGGGUUGUCAUGCCAAUGGCACUGCCCGGUAGCUAAAUGCGGAAGAGAUAAGUGCUGAAAGCAUCUAAGCACGAAACUUGCCCCGAGAUGAGUUCUCCCUGACUCCUUGAGAGUCCUGAAGGAACGUUGAAGACGACGACGUUGAUAGGCCGGGUGUGUAAGCGCAGCGAUGCGUUGAGCUAACCGGUACUAAUGAACCGUGAGGCUUAACCUU